CACGUAGGGCGCAAGCGUUGUCCGGAAUUAUUGGGCGUAAAGAGCUCGUAGGCGGUCUGUUACGUCUGCUGUGAAAACCCUGGGCUUAACCCUGGGCUUGCAGUGGAUACGGGCAGACUAGAGGCAGGUAGGGGAGAAUGGAAUUCCCGGUGUAGCGGUGAAAUGCGCAGAUAUCGGGAGGAACACCGGUGGCGAAGGCGGCAUCCUGGACCAACACUGACACUGAGGAGCGAAAGCCAGGGGAGCAAACGGG
rnacentral:rRNA from 1 species